ACUCCGUAGGUGAACCAGCGGAAGGAUCAUUAUUGUAUAACCAAGGUGCGUGGACCAUCGCUGACCCACACCUACGUGCACGCUCGAGUGCCCUCCCACACCUCCCUCCCGCCCCUAUGCGCACCACCGCCUACCUCACCCUUUGGCUUUUUCAGAAUGGCCCUUACGUUUUCUCACCAUCUUUGUAUGCAGUGUAUAAUCUAUUUUUUGUUUUUGCGUUCCCGCAAUCAAUACAACUUUCAACAACGGAACCCUUCGCUCUCGCCUCGAUGAAGAACG
rnacentral:misc_RNA from 1 species